GCCGGUGUAGCUCAGUUGGUAGAGCAGCUCAUUCGUAAUGAGAAGGUCGAGGGUUCGACUCCUUUCACCGGCACCA
rnacentral:tRNA from 2 species